rnacentral:rRNA from 1 species
CCUACGGGGGGCAGCAGUGGGGAAUAUUGCACAAUGGGCGCAAGCCUGAUGCAGCCAUGCCGCGUGUGUGAAGAAGGCCUUCGGGUUGUAAAGCACUUUCAGCGGGGAGGGAGGCGUUAAGGUUAAUAACCUUGUCGAUUGACGUUACCCGCAGAAGAAGCACCGGCUAACUCCGUGCCAGCAGCCGCGGUAAUACGGAGGGUGCAAGCGUUAAUCGGAAUUACUGGGCGUAAAGCGCACGCAGGCGGUCUGUCAAGUCGGAUGUGAAGUCCCCGGGCUCAACCUGGGAACUGCAUUCGAAACUGGCAGGCUAGAGUCUUGUAGAGGGGGGUAGAAUUCCAGGUGUAGCGGUGAAAUGCGUAGAGAUCUGGAGGAAUACCGGUGGCGAAGGCGGCCCCCUGGACAAAGACUGACGCUCAGGUGCGAAAGCGUGGGGAGCAAACAGGAUUAGAUACCCUAGUAGUC